rnacentral:rRNA from 1 species
CCUACGGGUGGCAGCAGUGAGGAAUAUUGGUCAAUGGCCGGAAGGCUGAACCCGCCAAGUCGCGUGCGGGAAUAAGGCCCUCUGGGUCGUAAACCUCUUUUGUCAGGGAGCAAAGGCGUCCACGUGUGGACGAGAGGCGAGUAACUGACGAACAAGCAUCGGCUAACUCCGUGCCUGCAGCCGCGGUAAUACGGAGGAUGCGAGCGGAAUCCGGAUGUAUUGGGUUUAAAGGGUGCGUAGGCGGAGUGUAAAGUCAGCGGUAAAAUUUCGGGGCUCAACCCCGUCGUGCCGUUGAAACUGACGCCCUUGAGUGAGUGAGAGGUAAGCGGAAUGCGUGGUGUAGCGGUGAAAUGCAUAGAUAUCACGCAGAACGCCGAUUGCGAAGGCAGCUUACCGGCGCUCAACUGACGCUGAGGCACGAAAGUGCGGGUAUCGAACAGGAUUAGAUACCCUUGUAGUC